rnacentral:rRNA from 1 species
UACAGAGGGGGCAAGCGUUGUUCGGAAUUACUGGGCGUAAAGGGCGCGUAGGCGGCUCGGCAAGUCGGAUGUGAAAUCCCUCGGCUCAACCAAGGAAGUGCAUCCGAAACUGCUGAGCUUGAGUACUUAAGAGGAUCGCGGAAUUCCCGGUGUAGAGGUGAAAUUCGUAGAUAUCGGGAGGAACACCAGUGGCGAAGGCGGCGAUCUGGGAAGAUACUGACGCUGAGGUGCGAAAGCGUGGGGAGCAAACAGG